UUAGCGACGGUGACUGUUCCACUGGACCUGAAAAAGGCAGAGUCUAGGCCUUGUGUGAUGCAUAAUGGAUGGAUCGGUAUUGGAAGGGGGAACAAGAAAGGAUCAUCCAUGGCAGAGUUUUAUUUGAGUGUUAGAGCUGAACCUGAUCCGAGAUAUGUGUUUCAGUUUGGAGGAGAGCCCGAGUGUAGCCCUCAGGUUUUUCAAGUACAAGGAAGUGCCAGGCAGGCCGUUUUCACUUGCAAGUUCAGUUUGAGAAACCCUGCAGAUCGCAAUUUGGGACCAAGGCAAUCAAUGUUGGAACCAAGCACAUCAAGAAACUGGCUACUUUCUGCUGGAGCUGAAAAGGACCAA
rnacentral:misc_RNA from 1 species